AUGGGUGCUCAACCUAUUGCGAGGCACAUAUGGGAGAAGCCCCCUGAGGAUCUUGUUAAACUGAAUGUGCAUGCAGCUUUCGAUAUUGAUACAGGGACUAGUGGCAUCUGGGCCAUCAUUCGUGAUCACCUUGGAUCCCUUGUUUCACAUGGGACAUGGAGCCUGCAAUUUGGAGAGGAUGCAGCUAUGGCUGAAUCUUGCGCGUUACGUGACGGCCUAUUAGUAGUUGUAAAUACAGGGUGCAACAAGCUGGUGGUCGAAUCAAAAUUUUCCAAAGUUGUGGAUGUCAUGCGAAAUUGA
rnacentral:rRNA from 1 species